rnacentral:rRNA from 1 species
GCGUUAUCCGGAUUUAUUGGGUUUAAAGGGUGCGUAGGUGGCCUGUUAAGUCAGGGGUGAAAGACGGUAGCUUAACUAUCGCAGUGCCUUUGAUACUGACGGGCUUGAAUACACUAGAGGUAGGCGGAAUGUGACAAGUAGCGGUGAAAUGCAUAGAUAUGUCACAGAACACCAAUUGCGAAGGCAGCUUACUAUGGUGUUAUUGACACUGAGGCACGAAAGCGUG